UACGUAGGUGGUUAAGUAAGUCGAGCGUGAAAUCCAUUGGCUCAACCAAUGAACUGCACUCGAAACUGCAUAACUUGAGUUCAGGAGAGGAAAGCGGAAUUCCCGGUGUAAGAGUGAAAUCUGUAGAGAUCGGGAGGAACACCAGUGGCGAAGGCGGCUUUCUGGACUGAUACUGACACUGAAAUACGAAAGCUAGGGGAGCAAACAGGAUUAGAUACCCUGGUAGUCC
rnacentral:rRNA from 1 species